rnacentral:rRNA from 1 species
AUGAACGCUGGCGGCGUGCCUAAUACAUGCAAGUCGAGCGAACAGACGAGGAGCUUGCUCCUCUGACGUUAGCGGCGGACGGGUGAGUAACACGUGGAUAACCUACCUAUAAUACUGGGAUAACUUCGGGAAACCGGAGCUAAUACCGGAUAAUAUAUUGAACCGCAUGGUUCAAUAGUGAAAGACGGUUUUGCUGUCACUUAUAGAUGGCUCCGCGCCGCAUUAGCUAGUUGGUAAGGUAACGGCUUACCAAGGCAACGAUGCGUAGCCGACCUGAGAGGGUGAUCGGCCACACUGGAACUGAGACACGGUCCAGAGUCCUACGGGAGGCAGCAGUAGGGAAGCUUCCGCAAUGGGCGAAAGCUUGACGGAGCAACGGCGCGUGAGUGAUGAAGGUCUGCGGAUCGUAAACUCUGUUAUUAGGGAAGAACAAAUGUGUAAGUAACUAUGCACGUCUUGACGGUACCUAAUCAGAAAGCCACGGCUAACUACGUG